AGUCGUAACAAGGUUUCCGUAGGUGAACCUGAGGAAGGAUCAUUAACACGUAUCAACGUUAAACAACCCUGAACUUUCAGCCGCUCUUGUAGCCCUCGAGGAACAACAAUUCGGUAAAUCGUCGAACAGUUUUGAUUCGGGACCUCUGUUCAAAAGGUAUCAAGUUACAAUUGAGAGUAGGUGGCAUGGCUUCCCCAAGCGGCUAGUGAAAUGACAUUGUCAGUUGUAAGGAUAACGCCACAGUUGUAGGUCGAUCACCGGCUGGCGACAUGUCACAGGGCUUUACGCCCCUUAACCACCGAAUGCCCCGCCUAGUGGUAACGCGCAGGUAAAAAAAACCGAACAACUGUGUUAACAAUGGAUAUCUUGGUUCUC
rnacentral:misc_RNA from 1 species